UGAUUCAUGACUGGGGUGAAGUCGUAACAAGGUAGCCGUAGGGGAACCUGCGGCUGGAUCACCUCCUUA
rnacentral:rRNA from 1 species